UUUUAUUUCGUGGACGCUUCUCAUCGUAGGAAGGCGCAUCGCUGGGGGUGGUUGAAACCACCUAUGCCGGGCGAUGCGCUGUUCAGGGGGCCUCACGGGCCCUUUUUUCUUUUCCCGGA
rnacentral:sRNA from 1 species